rnacentral:lncRNA from 1 species
CUGCCGCCGCCGCCUCCGAUUUCGCCACCGCCAAUACAGCCACCACUAGUACCGCCGCCGCCGCUUCCGGUUCCGCCGUCUCUGUCAUUUCCGCAACCGCCUCCCAUUCCGCUACCGCCGCUGCCUCCGGUUCCGCCACCGCCACCAUUUUCGCACCCACCUCCGGUUUCGCUGCAGCCACUGGUUCCGUCGCCUUCCCCGGUUCAGCUGCCGCCUGCGGUUCCGCCGCCGCUGCCCUUUCCGCCGCGGCCUAU